AGGCGAGCUGGCGUGUGCG
rnacentral:misc_RNA from 1 species